GGGACUGAUCGGGAUCGAUGGAAGCUUGUUGUUCGUAGGUGCAAGUCGAGGAUGUAUCCAACCUCGUUAAUCCUGGAUGCAAGAGAAUUUAACUGCCAACAUCUUCUCACAAGCCAAGAACGCCGUGGCGAAAGCCUUUGCCGUUCCGAGCUUUGUUUCAGUCGUAGCCUAAGGGCUCUGACUCAUCUCGCUUUCUGACGCCUGAUAAGAAAGAUCGAGGUGUUAUAUCUUCGGGCUGGGCGUUCGGAUAUCCGGUCUUUGAACGCUAAGAAAGGCGACCGGCGCUGUGUUGCAAGUUUUGUCUUGCUUUGAUUGCAACACGGGCAUCUCCAAGCAAGACUACACUUGAAGAAACCUACGAAUUUCGCUUACCAGACGAGGGUUCAAUUCCCUCCAGUUCCACCA
rnacentral:tmRNA from 1 species